rnacentral:rRNA from 1 species
CAGAGGGUGCAAACGUUGUUCGGAAUUACUGGGCGUAAAGCGCGUGUAGGCGGCUAUGUAAGUCGGGCGUGAAAUCCCACGGCUCAACCGUGGAAGUGCACCCGAAACUGCGUAGCUAGAGUCCUGGAGAGGAAGGUGGAACGCUUGGUGUAGAGGUGAAAUUCGUAGAUAUCAAGCGGAACACCGGUGGCGAAGGCGGCCUUCUGGACAGUGACUGACGCUGAGACGCGAAAGCGUGGGGAGCAAACAGGAUUAGAUACCCUGGUAGUCCACGCCGUAAACGAUGAGUGCUAGGUGUCACGGGCUUUGACCCUCGUGGUGCCGAAGCUAACGCGUUAAGCACUCCGCCUGGGGAGUACGGCCGCAAGGCUA